UCUUUAUGCAAAUACGUACAGAAGAGUAACACAACCCUUGUGAUAGUUACUGCAGGUGAUAUGUGCAGGCUGAUUCUUAUACAUCUCAUUCUUUUCUCCUAUAUGUUCAGAGUUGCCUCCAAGCCUGUGACUGGUGACACUGAAGAACACAAGCUUAAAUGUCUUCAAAGAGUGGCAGGGAGAGGACAGGGAUAUUAACUGUUGCAGUAAAUUCAAGGUGAAAGGAAUGAGACUACAGAUGCCAAAUGGUGUUUUCAUCAGAUGUCUCUAUCUGAUGUGAAGCUACAGUGCUGGAGAAUCAAACAUACCAUACAGAUCGUGAUAUAGGAUCUAGGAACAUUGGA
rnacentral:lncRNA from 1 species